AUAAUGGGUCAGCGACUUAUAUUCUGUAGCAAGGUUAACCGAAUAGGGGAGCCGAAGGGAAACCGAGUCUUAACUGGGCGUUAAGUUGCAGGGUAUAGACCCGAAACCCGGUGAUCUAGCCAUGGGCAGGUUGAAGGUUGGGUAACACUAACUGGAGGACCGAACCGACUAAUGUUGAAAAAUUAGCGGAUGACUUGUGGCUGGGGGUGAAAGGCCAAUCAAACCGGGAGAUAGCUGGUUCUCCCCGAAAGCUAUUUAGGUAGCGCCUCGUGAAUUCAUCUCCGGGGGUAGAGCACUGUUUCGGCAAGGGGGUCAUCCCGACUUACCAACCCGAUGCAAACUGCGAAUACCGGAGAAUGUUAUCACGGGAGACACACGGCGGGUGCUAACGUCCGUCGUGAAGAGGGAAACAACCCAGACCGCCAGCUAAGGUCCCAAAGUCAUGGUUAAGUGGGAAACGAUGUGGGAAGGCCCAGACAGCCAGGAUGUUGGCUUAGAAGCAGCCAUCAUUUAAAGAAAGCGUAAUAGCUCACUGGUCGAGUCGGCCUGCGCGGAAGAUGUAACGGGGCUAAACCAUGCACCGAAGCUGCGGCAGCGACACUAUGUGUUGUUGGGUAGGGGAGCGUUCUGUAAGCCUGUGAAGGUGUACUGUGAGGUAUGCUGGAGGUAUCAGAAGUGCGAAUGCUGACAUAAGUAACGAUAAAGCGGGUGAAAAGCCCGCUCGCCGGAAGACCAAGGGUUCCUGUCCAACGUUAAUCGGGGCAGGGUGAGUCGACCCCUAAGGCGAGGCCGAAAGGCGUAGUCGAUGGGAAACAGGUUAAUAUUCCUGUACUUGGUGUUACUGCGAAGGGGGGACGGAGAAGGCUAUGUUGGCCGGGCGACGGUUGUCCCGGUUUAAGCGUGUAGGCUGGUUUUCCAGGCAAAUCCGGAAAAUCAAGGCUGAGGCGUGAUGACGAGGCACUACGGUGCUGAAGCAACAAAUGCCCUGCUUCCAGGAAAAGCCUCUAAGCAUCAGGUAACAUCAAAUCGUACCCCAAACCGACACAGGUGGUCAGGUAGAGAAUACCAAGGCGCUUGAGAGAACUCGGGUGAAGGAACUAGGCAAAAUGGUGCCGUAACUUCGGGAGAAGGCACGCUGAUAUGUAGGUGAAGUCCCUCGCGGAUGGAGCUGAAAUCAGUCGAAGAUACCAGCUGGCUGCAACUGUUUAUUAAAAACACAGCACUGUGCAAACACGAAAGUGGACGUAUACGGUGUGACGCCUGCCCGGUGCCGGAAGGUUAAUUGAUGGGGUCAGCGCAAGCGAAGCUCUUGAUCGAAGCCCCGGUAAACGGCGGCCGUAACUAUAACGGUCCUAAGGUAGCGAAAUUCCUUGUCGGGUAAGUUCCGACCUGCACGAAUGGCGUAAUGAUGGCCAGGCUGUCUCCACCCGAGACUCAGUGAAAUUGAACUCGCUGUGAAGAUGCAGUGUACCCGCGGCAAGACGGAAAGACCCCGUGAACCUUUACUAUAGCUUGACACUGAACAUUGAGCCUUGAUGUGUAGGAUAGGUGGGAGGCUUUGAAGUGUGGACGCCAGUCUGCAUGGAGCCGACCUUGAAAUACCACCCUU
rnacentral:rRNA from 1 species